AUCUGCCCUCUGCAAAAUCACCUCAUUUCCCUCAUUCAACCUCUGGUCCUCCUGCCAGGCAUUUCUCUUUUCUCCUCUUUCUUUUUCCCUUCCAGAUACCCCCUUUUAUUUUCCCAUUUACUGCACUGGGAAAUCAUGCCCCACCAUCUACUAGGCUUAAAAAAUCCCAAAUAGCCUUUACUUCAUGAAUAAUUUGGUGACCGAUUUCUUCAGCUAUCAAAAUAAUAAAAAUAGAGGGAACAGGCCUGGGCUCUCACCUUUUCAUCCUCUAGGCUUGAAUCCUGGGAUGUUAGCACUUACGAGUUAAAAGGGAGCACAGAGGUGAUUCAGCCCAUAGCUAAAAUGGUGUAGACAUCCCUUCUCUAACAUCCAGUGCUUACUAGCCUUAAGGACCCAGAGUGAGGAUCUCCAAGGAAGAAGAGCUCUGGACUUCCCAAGCAGCCUUUCCAAGGCAGGGCAGUUCUCCUAGUUCAAAAAGAUUCCACCAGAGGCUGAGAUACAUCUCCUCGCAACCACCGGUUUUGUUUUUGCCUUUGUACUAACCCCUUCCUCGUCUACAUGGCAGUUCUUCAAAUAUUUGAAAAGAGAUAUCUCAUCUUAAUAGAGUACAGUGACAUCCUCUCUCACUCUUUCUUCAGGGACCUGAGACCAUUUCAGAUAGUUAGCUUGAUUUUUAGCUGACCGUGAAGCCCUUGCCCUCAACAAAUGUAUCGUCGUGAAGGUAUACCUGAUGGGGAGAGCCAUUUCUGGGGUCAAAGAGGAGGUGAGGGAGAUGAGUGAAGUAGAAAUCUUAGGAUCCUAAUGCAAACUGGGAAAGCUUUUUGGGAACAUAGCUACUGACCAUUGAGUUUCCCAGGUGAAACUGCCCAUAACUGUAGCCACCAUUUUAUUUAAAAAUGAUUCUGACCCUUUCCUUCUUACUUACUUGCUCUUACAGUUACUGUGGUUCCUGCUCCAAAAACGUAGUUGUAGCCACUAGUGCCACAGUGCUAGGUCUACCUACACUAACCUCAUCAAGACUGUGGGCUGCGGCAGGCAGGCUGCCUACGGGCCUACCUUUACGCCCCUAUGUAAGAAGCCCUUGGUAACUAUUCUAACCUCUUGCUUUGGCUUUUACUUUCACAGAGUUUCCUCAUUUGUGAAGAAAGCAGGGGAGGCUAAUAUCCAUCCUGGGGGAUUGUUCAGAAGGCAAUAUGAGUUCAAGUAGGAGACGCACUUUAUACAGUACUUUAUACAGCACACAGCAAGCAUUCAGUAAGAGUUCGUCAGGAAGAUCAAGAUUAAUUCUUUUCAUCUUAGAAGAUGCAUAUAAUUUUAGUUUGUCACAUCUUCUCUCUGAAACCUGGAAUGUUCAUAGGUACUUUAAAUUAUAUCCUAAGGCUCCUUUGUCAACUAGUAAAAAAUUUCCAGCAGUUAAACUUUGGGAAUUUUUCAUAUAUAGGAUGCCAUCCCAAGAGUAGGGUCGGCAGUUUCAGAAUGUUUACUGAAUCAUAGGACUUGCUUACUAUGUUUUAUAUCUGUUUAAGAGACAUAUGAACAAGGAAUGAUAAAUUGUUAUGGGGGGGGGGAACCCAAAACACAAAAUAAAAUAACUCAAAACAAAUACAAACUGGUAAGAAGAAUUUAGGAUAAUAUGUUGGUGACUUUCACUUAUAGACAAUUAUAACUUACUUGGCUUUACGCUGAGCUUGGUUCCAGAGCCAAAGUAAAAUAUGUUAGAGUUGUACACCGUGUUUACUAUCAUUACAAAAAGUCCUGGACUUCCUAAAAGGGAGGUGGUUAAACAGAGGAGACCAACCAAGGUAGGUCAAGCCUCACUCAACCCCACCAACUUCUUGCUAUUUUCCUAGAAAAUUCAAGAACCAAAGUGAGGAAUGAGCCAAGAAGACACAUUCAUUAUCAGAGACAGGCAAGAUAAGGGCAACUGAUUUUCUCCAGUGGUUUUAUCGAUUUCUUUUCUUUAGUUUUCUGCUUGGGUUCAUUCUUAUGUCUUCUGUGCUCCAUACACACAAUAUUUGCAACAAGGACACUGCCAGUAAAUGCUUUUUACCUUUUUCUUUUCCUAAUUAUAAAUGAAAAUUCUCCUCAGGUGGACUGGACUGUGAGAAAAAUCCCUACUCUCUGCCUUUAGUUCCAGGGCUAUCUGGAAGCUUCUCUCCCUUGGUCUGUACCUGGAUCUGUGUGCUUGACAACUUGAGCUGGGCUACUUUUAAUGAUAUCUUAAACCACACCAGCUGGUUUGCUGUAGUCUGUAUGUAUCAUCCACCAAGAUCCCUGUGUCCUAUCUGUCAGAGUACCUACAUUACAUAACCAAAUGUACUUUAACAUCCACAUCAACACUCUCCUUCCAGCCCCCACAAUGAAACCGUACAUUUUGGCGUGUGUGUGUGUGUGUGUGUGUGUAUGUUUUCUGCCUGCAUGUUCUCUUUAGCAAAGAAGAAGAAAAGAGGCCUCAGUGCUGGCUGUCAUUUGCAAGUCUAGAUGAAACAUUAUUUAUGAGCAAAAUAUUUUGCUGACAAUAAGAACAGAAAGGGAAGCUCAGUGCCAACAGUUAGACGCCCACACAGUUUGGAUUUAAACAAAUCUCAACAAAUGAACACAGUUAUGAGAAAGAAAAUAGAGGUGACUUCAGUCGAAGCCAAGUAAUUAUAAUACUUAGGCAGUUUUGGAGGGCAAGGGGUUUACUUGUUCUCACUUGUAGAAAUGAUAAGCAGUGUGUUACGGGAACACUUUGCUGGAAGGGCACCAGAGAGCUAUAGAAAGAGAGCUUCAUUUAAAUAUCUUAAAUAGGCAUGUUUGUGUUUAGCAGUAGAAAUAAGCUAGAAUAGGCUAGAAAUAUGGCUGGCUAACUAGACUUGGUUUAAGAUAGUUAGUUCCUGGUAAAACCAUCUUGUAGCAUUCGGUCUGGCUCAAAUGGAAAUGUUAUGAGACACAGAGACUCCCUUUAUGGAAUCUGUUCCUAUUAUUCAGCAUUCUUCUAGGUUAGGAUAGCUUCUUCUCCACUCAUUUUUCAUCAACUCCCCUUCCAAACUUAGCAAAAAGCCUUCUCUUUCUCUUUGGUCUUUGAUAAAUACUUCUCUUCUUACAUUACCCUUUUGGGCAUGUGCUGUUGGUGUCUCUCCACCAGCCUCAACCCCAGGCCCAUUAACUUACAUGUAUGUACAGUAGACAUUAAUAGAUUAAUAGAUCAGUGCAAAUAGAAUUUGAUUGUGGAGGCCUACCAGGUACAACAGUCAACUGGGUCCCAGAUCCAAAGGUCAGUUGCCACCCUGAACCUGAAGAAACACUGUGAUAUGCCCAACAACAAAAACCAGAUCAAAAGGCUAGGCUGGCAGUGCAAAGAGUUGGCAACUACUUUAUGGGUUAGGCCUCACAUCAUUGCCAGACUAUUGUCUGUCCACAAAUCAUAAAUAAACCCGUCUUUAUAAUCUCCCUUUGUUUUAGGGAAUCUUUGCUUUCCACUCUCUACUACAGAGUUCUAAGUGUCAAACAUAAGCCUUCAACAUAUAUGUAGAGUGAGUGGUCUCUGAUUUCAGAUGUUAAACCAGGGUUCACAUCUUUUCAUCUAAGAAGACUCACAAAGCCCAGGACAGAGACAAUUUCUCCUCCACUCUGGGCAUCACUGGGUUGUGCAACUAGGGAACUGCUCAAAUCCUUGCGUCCUCCUUAGACUCAGUCUACAGGAUCUAAAUGAGGUACAGAGCUGCAGUUAUCUGGUUAGUUUGGCUGCUAGUUUGAUAUUGCUAAAAUAAUUUUACAAUGAUUAAAUUAUCAGGGGAAAUUUCUAGUUUUCCACUUUACUUUUGGAUCAUUUCUUUUCUCCUGGCUAAAGUGGGACCUAUAUUGAUCUAGCUGCCAAAAGUCUUCAAAAAUGGGACAAAAAUAAAUUUUAAUAUUUUCUAAAGUAGUGAGGAUGGCACGAAAGGGUCGUGCCUAGGAGGGAUCAGAAUACAGAUCGUCACAUUCGAGGGAACAAAUGAGAUCCACCUCCAGAAGGUAACUUCCCUGAGGGCAAUAUCACAUUGAGUUUGUUCCCUAAUGGGUCCCUGGUCUGAGCAUCAAGCCUGGCAGAGAGUAGAUGGACAAAAAUAUUUGUCAGAUGAGUCCUGUGGACUCCUCAAACAUCAGGCCAGGUAAAUUAAUGGUUGAGACAAGCUCAGAAAACUGGAGAUUUAAGUUUUAGUUCCAGCUCAGGCACAGAUAGGCUGUAGGACCAUCAUAAAUUACCUGGUAAAUUAGCUGGUAAAUGAAGCUAUGAGAUCAUGAUCAGUCUCUUCCCCAGGCCUUAGUUCCAUCAUAAAUGGAGACAAUCAAAAGGGAUGAUUUUAAGGGUUCUUUCUGCUCCAUGAGGCUAUGUCAUACAAAUUUUUGGCCUAAAGUUUCAGAAACAAGAAGCAUCCCCUCGUACUUAUGAGUAAACUUUUUUUUUUAAGUGAUUUUCAGGGGCGCCUGGGUGGCUCAGUCAGUUAAGCUUCUGACUCUUGAUUUCAGCUCAGGUCAUGAUCUCACGGUUCGUGGAACCCUGAGUCGGUUUCUGCACUGACAGCAUGGAGCCUGCUUGGGGUUCUCUCUCUUCCUCUCUCUCUCUGCCCCUGCCUUGUUCUUGCUCUCGCUCUCUCAAAAUAAAUAAAUAAACAUUAAAAAAAAAAAAAAGGUGAUUUUCAGACUCUGGGAGAGGCUAGUCACAGUUGUUUUGGUCAAUGAUAAUUACUUGUAAGUUUCCUUCCAUAAAUGGACAUAAUCUUACUUAGCUGAAAAGAAUGGUGCCUUAGAGGCUUGUUAAAGAAUUAGAAAUCUUGUCACUGAUGACUGUACAAAUCCAGGGCUACAGGGCCUAGACAGUACCCCAAGAAUCAGUCACACCCCUUUACUCUCACCACAUAUAUUCUGGGAGAAAUACCCAGGGCUCCCCUACAUGCCCAUUUCACACCAAGACAUCAGGUCCUAGCCAGGGGUACUUUUGUCCUCCUUCUAUUUGAUGCUCAUUCACCCUUUCUAAACAUUCUUCGUAUAGUGUAUAAUUGGGGCUAAAUCAGCUCCUAAUCCACAGACAUUCCUUAAUCCAGGGGUACACUUUUAUACUUACUGGACUUCACAGAUAACUCAGUGCCUUGUCCGAAGAUAAGCUUUCCUCCCUGGUUAUAAUUCACACUGUGUUACAUAUCCUGUCAAAAACAUAUCCAAUCUUCCUGAACACAUUUCUAAUCCUCUUCCUCCAAACCCACAGCAGAUCUCUUCUCACACCAUAGCAUGAAUUGUGGCUAUACUUAUUGUAACUUUUUUUCUUAUAAGGGGAAUAAAGUACUUACACAGGGGACUGAUAGAGAAUAAUGAGAAUUCCUAUUUAUCCGAAAAUGUUUCUAUCCAAACAGAUUUCUCGUGUUUGCUUAAUGGCUCUGGGUAUUGCUGCUCAGGGAAAUGGCUUCCUUUCAAAUAUGUUUCUUGUGGUCUCAGCUAGAAAUACAUGGCACACAGGGGUUAAAAAAUUAAGGGCAGGUGAGACUCUGGGGAAUCAGGCGUACCCACAGUGACCACAACCUGGGUCCCUGCUCCAAAAUUCAAUUUCCACCAGCCAUCAGUUGUCACACUGGUGACAAACACUUCUACAAAAUGGCUUCCCCCGAGAAGACAGCUGGUAAAUGAAGACAAACUGCUCAUGGGGAAACAAUCUUGCUACAAAAUGAGCUGGUAUCACGAACCACCAACACAAACCAAGCAAAAAAAACACCACCUGUGUUUUGACAGCUUCCGCGUGAUGGAAGACAGGCUUCUUGGGAAGAAUAAUUAGCCAGAAAGAAGAACUUACUUGGUGUGACCAUGAGCUUGGUGCCUUUCCCAAAUGUGAGUUGGUAACUCCCAACCCUAGAGUCUACCCAGAGUUUCCUUUCUUUGCAAAAUCCCUGCAGAUGCUGAGAAAAUGAAACCACUCACAGCACAAGGAGCAGUGCUGACAGAAGCUCAGACUGUCACAGUAACCAGAUGACAGGCAGAAGAGCUGUGACAGAGGCUGGCCAUGGGGUGGACCAUCCCUUGGAGUCCUAGAGACAUGGCUGGCUUUCAGAGGCCAUCCAGUUCAUCCUCCCAUCUUCUGCCAAGGUGUUCUCUGACCAAAGACCUAUCCAGUCUUUAAGAGCUCCUGGGCAGGUGGUUCUCCUUUGCCAACAGCUUUUGCAUUCAAGAAACUGUGCCUUAUCUAAUUGAAAUCUGCAAACUGUAGCCCGAGUUCUUUGUGUCUCUAGCCUCCCUCCUUGAAGGAAAUUUCGCGUCAACAGACUCUAAACAGAAACUCAUCACGACGUACCACACUAGUCCCAGUGGUUGUUUCUGGGGAGCAAACUGAUACUGAAGGAAAUGGGUCAAGGUGAAUAUUGGCUUUAUCUGUAAUUUGAAUUGUUUUUACCAUGAGACAUCUUCAUGUAUUUCUUAGACAAAUUUAAAAUUAAUAACAACAUUAAAUAUUUUAAAUGGC